rnacentral:rRNA from 1 species
UACGUAGGGUGCGAGCGUUUGUCCGGAAUUAUUGGGCGUAAAGAGCUUGUAGGCGGCUUGUCGCGUCUGCUGUGAAAAUCCGAGGCUCAACCUCGGACUUGCAGUGGGUACGGGCAGGCUAGAGUGUGGUAGGGGAGACUGGAAUUCCUGGUGGAGCGGUGAAAUGCGUUGAUAUUCACAGGAACUCCGGUGGCGAAGGCGAGGUGCUGGACCCAUCUGACGCUGAGGCGCGAAAGCCAGGGGAGCGAACGGG